GAUGAACGCUGGCGGCGUGCCUAAUACAUGCAAGUCGAGCGAACGGACGAGAAGCUUGCUUCUCUGAUGUUAGCGGCGGACGGGUGAGUAACACGUGGAUAACCUACCUAUAAGACUGGGAUAACUUCGGGAAACCGGAGCUAAUACCGGAUAAUAUAUUGAACCGCAUGGUUCAAAAGUGAAAGACGGUCUUGCUGUCACUUAUAGAUGGAUCCGCGCUGCAUUAGCUAGUUGGUAAGGUAACGGCUUACCAAGGCAACGAUGCAUAGCCGACCUGAGAGGGUGAUCGGCCACACUGGAACUGAGACACGGUCCAGACUCCUACGGGAGGCAGCAGUAGGGAAUCUUCCGCAAUGGGCGAAAGCCUGACGGAGCAACGCCGCGUGAGUGAUGAAGGUCUUCGGAUCGUAAAACUCUGUUAUUAGGGAAGAACAUAUGUGUAAGUAACUGUGCACGUCUUGACGGUACCUAAUCAGAAAGCCACGGCUAACUACGUG
rnacentral:rRNA from 1 species